rnacentral:lncRNA from 1 species
UAGCCUACAGCGCGCCUGCCGAGCACUGCCACCUUGGGCACUGCAUCUCCACUGCCUUAGGCGGCGCGUCAUCGCCGCCGGUGGAGGAAAUUUUCCUCCCUCAUUUUUCAUGUGAAGAAUCUUUUUCUCCUCUUUCUUCACCAGAUUUCACCACUUAGCAUGAAUCCAACAGUUCUAAAAUUGUAUAAAUUGCCCUUCCCCUUCCCUUUCUCUCCACACUUUCAUUUCUUCCAUUUUUCAAGAUUUAGAUAGAGAGAGUAAAAUAGUGAGAGAAUAAGAGAAAGAAAGG